rfam:Xylona heveae TC161 unplaced genomic scaffold L228scaffold_5, whole genome shotgun sequence.
GGUCGGUUAGCUCAGUUGGUUAGAGCGUGGUGCUAAUACCUCAAUGGUUCCUUACUUUGUAAGGAAUAGCUGACGCCAAGGUCGCGGGUUCGACCCCCGUACUGACCA